rnacentral:rRNA from 1 species
UCAAGUUAUUAAGGGUGCAGGGCGAAUGCCUUGGCACUAGGAGCCGAUGAAGGACGUGAUAAGCUGCGAUAAGCUUCGGGGAGUUGCACGUAAACUUUGAUCCGAAGAUUUCCGAAUGAGGAAACUCACUUAGAGUAAUGUCUAAGUAUCGUAUGAUGAAUACAUAGUCAUGCGAGGGGAACCCGGAGAACUGAAACAUCUAAGUACCCGGAGGAAGAGAAAGAAAUUCGAUUCCGUAAGUAGCGGCGAGCGAACGCGGAACAGGCCAAACCAGUGAAGUUUUCUUCGCUGGGGUUGCGGACAUAUCAUAACGAAGAGGUAUCGUAGAAGAAGAGAGUUGGAAAGCUCCGCCACAGAUGGUAACAGCCCAGUAUUUUAAACGAGAAGACUUUAGAUAUGAUCCAGAGUACCACGGGACACGUGAAACCCUGUGGGAAGCAGGAGGGACCAUCCUCCAAGCCUAAAUACUACCUAGUGACCGAUAGCGUAUAGUACCGUGAGGGAAAGGUGAAAAGAACCCCGGGAGGGGAGUGAAAGAGAACCUGAAACCCUGCACUUACAAGCUGUAGGAGCACAUUAUUUGUGUGACUGCGUACUUUUUGUAGAACGGGCCAACGAGUUACGUUGUGUAGCAAGGUUAAGCACUUAAGGUGUGGAGCCGUAGCGAAAGCGAGUCUUAAAUGGGCGUCCAGUUACCCGACGUAGACCCGAAACCAGGCGACCUAUCCAUGAGCAGGUUGAAGCGAAAGUAAAAUUUCGUGGAGGACCGAACCCACGUACGUUGAAAAGUGCGGGGAUGACUUGUGGAUAGCGGUGAAAUUCCAAUCGAGCCUGGAGAUAGCUGGUUCUCCCCGAAAUAGCUUUAGGGCUAGCCUCAAGCUUAGAGAAACGGAGGUAGAGCACUGAAUGUCCUAGGGGGUAUUGCACUUACCGAAGACUAUCAAACUCCGAAUGCCGUAUUCUUUUGCUUGGGAGUCAGACUAUGGGUGAUAAGAUUCAUAGUCAAGAGGGCAACAGCCCAGAUCGUCAGCUAAGGUCCCUAAAUGUAAGUUAAGUGGUAAAGGAUGUGGAAUUGCACAGACAACCAGGAUGUUGGCUUAGAAGCAGCCACUCAUUUAAAGAGUGCGUAAUAGCUCACUGGUCGAGUGAUUCUGCGCCGAAAAUUUCCGGGGCUAAAACUUACUACCGAAGCUACGGCAUCAUUAUGAUGGGUAGGGGAGCUUUCUAUGUGGCUUGAAGCAUGACCGUAAGGACAUGUGGACUGCAUAGAAGUGAGAAUGUUGGCAUGAGUAGCGAGAUGUGGGUGAGAAUCCCACAGGCCGUAAACCCAAGGUUUCCAGGGGAAGGUUCGUCCGCCCUGGGUUAGUCAGGACCUAAGCCGAGGCCGAAAGGCGUAGGUGAUGGACAACAGGUUGAUAUUCCUGUACCACCAAUAACCGUUUGAGAAAUGGGAUGACACAGUAGGAUAAGCUAACCGCACUGUUGGUUAUGUGCGGGCAAGUAUUGAGGCAGUUCCGAUAGGCAAAUCCGUCGGAAUAAUGCUGGGGUACGAUGCGGAGCGAAAUUUAGUAGCGAAGUAGCUGAUUUCACACUGUCGAGAAAAGUCUCUAUCGAGGUUAAAGGUGCCUGUACCGCAAACCGACACAGGUGGGUGAGGAGAGUAUCCUAAGGCCAGCGAGAGAACUGUUGUUAAGGAACUCGGCAAAAUGACCCCGUAACUUAGGGAGAAGGGGUGCCUUCGAAAGAAGGCCGCAGAGAAUAGGCCCAAGCGACUGUUUACCAAAAACAUAGGUUUCUGCUAAGUCGCAAGACGAUGUAUAGGAGCUGACGCCUGCCCGGUGCUGGAAGGUUAAGGGGAUCUGUUAGAGCAAUCGAAGCAGUGAACUUAAGCCCCAGUAAACGGCGGCCGUAACUAUAACGGUCCUAAGGUAGCGAAAUUCCUUGUCGGGUAAGUUCC